rnacentral:rRNA from 1 species
CGCUGGCGGCAGGCCUAACACAUGCAAGUCGAGCGGUAGAGAGAAGCUUGCUUCUCUUGAGAGCGGCGGACGGGUGAGUAAUGCCUAGGAAUCUGCCUGGUAGUGGGGGAUAACGUUCGGAAACGGACGCUAAUACCGCAUACGUCCUACGGGAGAAAGCAGGGGACCUUCGGGCCUUGCGCUAUCAGAUGAGCCUAGGCCGGAUUAGCUAGUUGGUGAGGUAAUGGCUCACCAAGGCGACGAUCCGUAACUGGUCUGAGAGGAUGAUCAGUCACACUGGAACUGAGACACGGUCCAGACUCCUACGGGAGGCAGCAGUGGGGAAUAUUGGACAAUGGGCGAAAGCCUGAUCCAGCCAUGCCGCGUGUGUGAAGAAGGUCUUCGGAUUGUAAAGCACUUUAAGUUGGGAGGAAGGGUUGUAGAUUAAUACUCUGCAAUUUUGACGUUACCGACAGGAUAAGCACCGGCUAACUCUGUGCCAGCAGCCGCGGUAAUACAGAGGGUGCAAGCGUUAAUCGGAAUUACUGGGCGUAAAGCGCGCGUAGGUGGUUUGUUAAGUUGGAUGUGAAAUCCCCGGGCUCAACCUGGGAACUGCAUUCAAAACUGACUGACUAGGGUAUGGUAGAGGGUGGUGGAAUUUCCUGUGUAGCGGUGAAAUGCGUAGAUAUAGGAAGGAACACCAGUGGCGAAGGCGACCACCUGGACUAAUACUGACACUGAGGUGCGAAAGCGU